rnacentral:rRNA from 1 species
CCCAGACUCCUACGGGAGGCAGCAGUGGGGGAUAUUGCACAAUGGGGGGAACCCUGAUGCAGCGACGCCGCGUGGGUGAAGGAGCGUUUCGGCGCGUAAAGCCCUAUCGGCAGGGAAGAAGGAGGACGGUACCUGACUAAGAAGCCCCGGCUAACUACGUGCCAGCAGCCGCGGUAAUACGUAGGGGGCAAGCGUUAUCCGGAUUUACUGGGUGUAAAGGGGGCGCAGACGGCAGCGCAAGCCAGGAGUGAAAGCCCGGGGCCCAACCCCGGGACUGCUCUUGGAACUGCGCGGCUGGAGUGCAGGAGGGGCAGGCGGAAUUCCUGGUGUAGCGGUGAAAUGCGUAGAUAUCAGGAGGAACACCGGUGGCGAAGGCGGCCUGCUGGACUGCAACUGACGUUGAGGCCCGAAAGCGUGGGGAGCAAACAGGAUUAGAUACCCGCGUAACC